rnacentral:misc_RNA from 1 species
GGAUCUUCCAAUUUUGAGUUCAAGCAACGGCCUGAGUUCCUCUUCUACUCCUUCUUCUACCACUUUCACCAGAAGCAUUCCCUCUUAUCCAUCUUCCAAAUCUGAAGCUGAUUACGGGAGGGGAAGCUCCUACUUUGGGGCUCAUGUCUUCAGUUUUGCUGAACUUGAAGAAGCGACGAAUAAUUUUGAUCCAUCUAAAGAGCUU